rnacentral:lncRNA from 1 species
AUUCUGAGAGCAAACAGGAACUCCGGCAGCAGGAAUCAAAGGCCUUCCCAGCCAGAGUGGAGAGAAGCAAGGGAGAGGUCCGAGAUUAAGAAAUAAAGUGAAUUCAUAUAUAUGGAAAAAUCAAGAGAGGGUCGCCAUGGUUUGGGUAAGUACCCUCCCGAAAGACCUGUGUGUUAGGAGGCUUGGUCUCUAGCUUAUGGGAUUAUUGGGAGGUGGUAGAACUUUUAAGAGGUAGGAACUAGUGGGAGCAUGUUAGGUUAUCAGAGUGAGCCUUCUGAGGAGAAAUUGGGACCCUGACCUCUUCUUCUGCUUCUUUUGCUUUCCUUUUACUUAUAGGUGAGAGUCCUCCUCUACCAUGUGUUCCACCACAGACCUAAAGCAAAAGGACCAAGCAUCCAUGGACUGAAACCUCUGAAUCCGUGAGCCAAAAGAAGCCUUUUCUCUUUCUAAAUUGAUUAUCUCAGGUAUUUUGUCACA